rnacentral:rRNA from 1 species
CCUACGGGAGGCAGCAGUAGGGAAUAUUGGGCAAUGGAGGCAAGUCUGACCCAGCCACGCCGCGUGCAGGAAGACGGCCCUCUGGGUUGUAAACUGCUUUUGAAUGGGAAGAACGCAGCUCAUGCGUCCUUUGUUGACGGUACCAUUAGAAUAAGCCACGGCUAACUACGUGCCAGCAGCCGCGGUAAU